CCUACGGGGGGCAGCAGUGAGGAAUAUUGGUCAAUGGACGAGAGUCUGAACCAGCCAAGUAGCGUGAAGGAUGACUGCCCUAUGGGUUGUAAACUUCUUUUAUAUGGGAAUAAAACGUUCCACGUGUGGGUUUUUGUAUUUACCAUAUGAAUAAGGAUCGGCUAACUCCGUGCCAGCAGCCGCGGUAAUACGGAGGAUCCGAGCGUUAUCCGGAUUUAUUGGGUUUAAAGGGAGCGUAGGUGGAUUGUUAAGUCAGUUGUGAAAGUUUGCGGCUCAACCGUAAAAUUGCAGUUGAAACUGGCAGUCUUGAGUACAGUAGAGGUGGGCGGAAUUCGUGGUGUAGCGGUGAAAUGCUUAGAUAUCACGAAGAACUCCGAUUGCGAAGGCAGCUCACUGGACUGCAACUGACACUGAGGCUCGAAAGUGUGGGUAUCAAACAGGAUUAGAUACCCUUGUAGUC
rnacentral:rRNA from 1 species